rnacentral:rRNA from 1 species
UUGAUUCGGUGGAUACCAUCCAUCCAGGCAUGGCCGUUCUUAAGACCCCGCAGUGACCGAAAAGGGAAUCGGGUUAAUAAUCCCGAACCAGGACACGGAGAUUGGUCCUUCCUGGGCACAGUGCGGUAACGCAAAUCAGCUCGGAGACGCCGAUGCGAGCCAGGGGAAGAGUUUUCUUUUCUCUGUAAGGAGAUCGAGUCCCUGGAAUGGGUUCGCCCCGAGAUAGGGAUGGUGGCUCCGUAGCAGACAUGUACCGUACGCAUUACUUUACAAGUGAUCAAAUUACUUGUAAUCGAUUACUUUUUGGAGUAAUUUUGUAAUCAGUUGAUUA